rnacentral:rRNA from 1 species
UCAAACCCUGCAAAGCAGAACGACCCGCGAACACGUAAAACAAACGAGCGUCGAGUGGGAUUAAGAUCCGCUUGACGCUUUGUCGAUGUGCAUUCGGUUGAGUUCUUUUGGACCAUUUGAGUGUGUCAUUGGCGCAAUAACAACCCCCGGCACAAUGUGUGCCAAGGAAAACUAAACUUGAGAAUGCUCGUUGCAUGAUGGCCCGUUCGCGGUGUCCUCAUGUGACGUGGCUUCUUAUUAAAUCGCGUCGCCCCCCGCAAAACUUUGUUGGGGGCGGAUAUUGGUCUCCCGUGUCACUGGUGCGGUUGUCCAAAAUAUGUUUUCCUUCGAUGGACGCACAAACUAGUGGUGGUCGUAAAAACCCUCGUUCUUUGUUUGUGUUUGGUAUCGCAAGGGACUCUUAAACCCUAAUGUGUUGUCUUUGGAUGACGCUUCGACCG